GUUUUACUUUCACUUUAAUCUGUGAGUGAUGGCUGGUAUCAGAAGAAUUGCGUAUCGCUUCACAACUAUUACAAAGACGAUGAAACCCAUAUCUUCAGAACUGCUUUCAUGUCAGUUAUGUUUGUUUAAUGAUUUAAAACAGUUCUCAAAAUCAAGUGGACCGCUAAAAGUUUUAGAAUCGACGAGGAGAGUCGAUAAACUUGUGGUACCUACAGACUAUAGUAAUGUAUCGGCUUGUACAUCUUCUGGCAAUGGUACGUCCGUAAGUACUGUCACUAAUUGUCACUAAUCAAAUGAUUUUACAUUUGAUAUUUUAAACAGGAAUUCAGGUGUAAUUCAAAAGCGUUAGAAAAUGAUAAUCAAUACAGUGAUCAUUGCAUCAUGUUUCCUUAAGGUGAUAUCAUGGAACAUCUGUCGAUGUUCAUGUAGAUAACAGUACAUGAUAAUUAAAAUACUUUUACCGGUUUAGAAUUUUAAAAUUUAACAAUAUUUUUCCAAAAAAUAAGUUUAAAAUUUGGAAAGGUAAAAAAAUUAAAAUUCCCAGUGGUAUUCAAACUCAUGACCUACAGGUUCGUAGUGAACGCUCUAACCCAUUGCGCUAGCCUGUUAGGUGACAAUAUUUAGUAAGAAAAUAUCUAUAACAUUAUACUUGUUUUUAUUGUUUAUUUCGAUAAACAAUAUGUCACAAUAUGGAGAUGUCCCAUACCACCUUAAUCAGCAUAGUUUCAUCCACAGGGAUUUUGAUUAUAUAAUAUGUAUUGAUAUUUAUUUAAUUACGUUUUGAACUCAAAGUAUUUCUUUCUUUGUAACAGCACCAGUGCGAUUAUAUUGCACAUCUAAACCUCCUGAUGUGUCCGAGAUCCGGAACAUAAACCCUUUAGGAAACAUACAGUCAAAGGUAUAUUACUUUGAUACCCUGGCAGUGGUACAAAAGCUGAUGAAGGAGGGUUAGUUACCUACAUGUAUCAUUUUUGUUUACUGCUUUUGGAGGAAAUGUGAAACAAUUCACUUUGAAGCACAACAGCAUAUACACUGACAUGAACAUUACAUUAAUUCGCAGUUUUUUUAAAAUUUAAUCAUUUUGCAGGUUUUGAUGAGAAACAGGCCAUGGCUAUUAAGGACAUUGUACAAGAGGUUCUUCAUUCCUCAAUAGAUCACCAAACCAAAGUCCUCGUUACAAAAGCCCAGCUGGAGAUUACAACCCAACAAAUGAUGACCCACUUAAACUCUGUCAAAAAAGAUUUGGUGAUAUUGGAGAAGAGCGAGUUUUCCAUGCUGAGAAGUGAAACAGAGAAACAGACUAUGGAAAUACAGCAACUUAAAAAAGCACUUGAAAAUGAACUAGAUAAACUUAAGGGCCAUGUAAGACUGGAUAUCAACUUGGAAAAGAGCAGGGCAAUUGAAGCACAUGCAGAAAAUGAAAAGAACCUUCAGAUGCUGCGCAAUAAAAUUGAAACUGACGUAGCCAAUGUUCGGACAUUAUUUGAAUCCUACAAAAAUGAUGUUUUUAGGUACUCAAUAGCCACUGCCCUCACAGCUGGAGCUACAGUGUUAGCAGUGCUCCGUUUACUGAUUCAUUGACCAAUGGAUGAAGUUAAUACUUCUCUAAACGAGAUGUUGGACCUUUUAAGAAAACCUUCAUGAAUAAAUUUGGAAUUUCAAGCUACAACAUAGAAACAAGUUUAAUAACUACUGAAUGUAUAAAGGAAAAACUGGGUUGGACAGUUUUUAAUUUAUAAAAGAAGCAACUUAUAAAACAAAAUGGCAAACUGCUUUAACCCUAGUUUUUGUGAGUAUAAAUACUGUAGCUAUAAAAAUAAUUCAAUUUACAUGUAGUUUUGUCACACAUAAUAAACACAGAUUUGUUUAAUUAAAUUUAUUGAAAUAACAUUUUUCAAUAAAGGAUUCCAAUUAUUCUGUUGGAAUAUUUGACAACUGUUUUCCAAAGAUUAGGCAUAUGAGUACAUUCUUUUUUACAAGUUAUCAAACCUAUCAUAUAGAUUUAAUAAACACCAAAAGUAGUAGAAAAGAUAGAAAAAGUUAGGGAGAUUCAAAGAACGAUGUUAAGUAAGAUGUACAACAGUAAUGAAAAAAAUUAAAAUAAAUACAAAAUGCAAACAUCAUACACAUUCUACGCACACAUACACAAUGACGCACACCCUAUAUCAUUCUCCACAAAAAAUUAAUGUGUCAGAUUAAAAUAUGUGUUAAUGAAAAUAAAAAAAAUAUACAAUUGU
rnacentral:misc_RNA from 1 species